GACGAACGCUGGCGGCGUGCUUAACACAUGCAAGUCGAACGGAAAGGCCCUGCUUGCAGGGUACUCGAGUGGCGAACGGGUGAGUAACACGUGGGUGAUCUGCCCUGCACUUCGGGAUAAGCCUGGGAAACUGGGUCUAAUACCGGAUAGGAGCCAUUUUUAGUGUGAUGGUUGGAAAGUUUUUUCGGUGUAGGAUGAGCUCGCGGCCUAUCGGCUUGUUGGUGGGGUAAUGGCCUACCAAGGCGGCGACGGGUAGCCGGCCUGAGAGGGUGGACGGCCACAUUGGGACUGAGAUACGGCCCAGACUCCUACGGGAGGCAGCAGUGGGGAAUAUUGCACAAUGGGCGCAAGCCGGAUGCAGCGACGCCGCGUGGGGGAUGACGGCCUUCGGGUUGUAAACUCCUUUCGCUAGGGACGAAGCUUUUUGUGACGGUACCUAGAUAAGAAGCACCGGCUAACUACGUG
rnacentral:rRNA from 1 species